CUCUUUUCUUGGCAUCAGACCCAAGCGAGAGGUGCUGAUUGCUGUGGCUGCUGUUUCUGGAGCUGACUGACACCCCCCCCACCCCCGCCGUGCCCUCAAAGACUGCAGCGUAACACGAGAGGGCAACACGCAGCGACCUUCCUCCGCAGGGGGAAGGAAAGUCGCACAGAGGAUUUUACACUUUAGACCCACUAGCUGUCUUCUUUUCCUUUCUUCUUUUUAUUAUUUUCCGUGGGUGCUGUAGUCAAGAACGAGACCACGCUCCAAAGGACCCACGGGAAACGAGAGCAGGCCGAAAGGACUGCCAGGGAGAGGCGAGGUGGGAGAAGCGCUUUUACUGGCACAGCCCAGUCUCGCGUGUGACUCGCAUGGCGGCGGCGACGGAAACAUAGGGAUUUUCAACACGCUGUAGGACAAAUUCACCAAAAAGGAAUUUUCUUCAGCCAAAUCAGUUCCUUCCUCCGGUUCACUGCACAGCCACUUCAACAAUAGUGCUAGCAAGAGGAACAAGAUACAAGCACUUGGGCCUGAAAAGUAGGCCUCUGGUUUUCAAUAGCAGCCUGGACACAUGCCGGAUUAAAUACAGUGCUGUUUAUCUCACCAAAGUGCUUUGUCAUGCGAAGUAUUAAUAAACAAGUUUAUAAGAGCACAUAAAUCAUAGCCUUGCAAGCUCUUAUUUGUAUUACUAUAGUAGAAGAUGCAUUUUUACUUUUUAAUUCUUGGGUUUUUUUCAUCUCUUCAUUGGGUGUCUGUUCUCCAUCAUGCUCAGAAUAAAUUUACUUCACAAUGUGCAAAACUUCUGAGUGCAUGCCCAUAUGUGUAGAUAAGUCCUAAAAACAAACUAACUGGGACAGAUUCAGUCAAUAAAAUAUGUUUUAUGUUCAUACAGCAUCCUUUAUGCUAAUGAUCACAAAUAUAAGAUGAAAAAAAAGGAAGAUUUUAAAGGCAGUAGUGAAAUAAAUUGUUUAAUGUGCUGGAGGAGACAGGUCACCUCCCUGCUGUAUGGAGUUUGACCUUUCCUAUUGGUUGCUAUUAACACACACUCUCGUACUUUUGAACACCCCUCUAAAAAAAGUGACAAAUGACCUUCCGGAUCUUUAAUAAAGGGCCCUAGUCAUUGCA